rnacentral:rRNA from 1 species
CGAACGGGUGAGUAAUGCAUCGGAAUGUACCGUGUAAUGGGGGAUAGCUCGGCGAAAGCCGGAUUAAUACCGCAUACGCCCUGAGGGGGAAAGUGGGGGACCGUAAGGCCUCACGUUAUACGAGCAGCCGAUGUCUGAUUAGCUAGUUGGUGAGGUAAGAGCUCACCAAGGCGACGAUCAGUAGCGGGUCUGAGAGGAUGAUCCGCCACACUGGGACUGAGACACGGCCCAGACUCCUACGGGAGGCAGCAGUGGGGAAUUUUGGACAAUGGGCGCAAGCCUGAUCCAGCCAUGCCGCGUGUCUGAAGAAGGCCUUCGGGUUGUAAAGGACUUUUGUUCGGGAGGAAAUCCCGCUGGUUAAUACCUGGCGGGGAUGACAGUAC